rnacentral:rRNA from 1 species
UGGGGGAUAUUGCACAAUGGGCGAAAGCCUGAUGCAGCGACGCCGCGUGGGGGAUGAAGGCCUUCGGGUUGUAAACUUCUUUUGCUCUGAACAAGGCAUGCCUUUGGGGUGUGUUGAGCGUAGGGGUUGAUUAGCGCCGGCUAACUACGUGCCAGCAGCCGCGGUAAUACGUAGGGCGCGAGCGUUGUCCGGAAUUAUUGGGCGUAAAGGGCUUGUAGGUGGCUGGUUGCGUCUGUCGUGAAAGCUCAUGGCUUAACUGUGGGUUUGCGGUGGGUACGGGCUGGCUUGAGUGCAGUAGGGGAGGCUGGAAUUCCUGGUGUAGCGGUGUAAUGCGCAGAUAUCAGGAGGAAUACCGGUGGCGAAGGCGGGUCUCUGGGCUGUUACUGACGCUGAGGAGCGAAAGCGUGGGGAGCGAACAGG